GAUGAACGCUAGCGGCAGGCCUAAUACAUGCAAGUCGAACGGUGUCUUCGGACAUAGUGGCGCACGGGUGAGUAACACGUGGGAGCGUGCCCUUUGGUUCGGAACAACUCAGGGAAACUUGAGCUAAUACCGGAUGUGCCCUUCGGGGGAAAGAUUUAUCGCCAUUGGAGCGGCCCGCGUCUGAUUAGCUAGUUGGUGAGGUAAAGGCUCACCAAGGCGACGAUCAGUAGCUGGUCUGAGAGGAUGAUCAGCCACAUUGGGACUGAGACACGGCCCAAACUCCUACGGGAGGCAGCAGUGGGGAAUCUUGCGCAAUGGGCGAAAGCCUGACGCAGCCAUGCCGCGUGAAUGAUGAAGGUCUUAGGAUUGUAAAAUUCUUUCACCGGGGACGAUAAUGACGGUACCCGGAGAAGAAGCCCCGGCUAACUUCGUGCCAGCAGCCGCCGUAAAAC
rnacentral:rRNA from 1 species